rnacentral:lncRNA from 1 species
GUUUUUACAGUAAAAGAAAAGUCAACCAAUGAAGAAAAACAAUGCAUUUGCUUACACUGUUUCAGAAGGAAAACAUACUGUAGUGCACUGCGCUGUGGGUUCGAAUGGGGUGAUGAAGGACACACGGUCAGCCUUCGUUAACGUUUAUUGGAACAUUGGCACACAGCAAGAGGUAAAGGAAAAGACACACGCAAACUUGGCUCUUCAGGAGGCGAUCAUAGAACAUUUCUCACUCAAACCGCUGUCUUUUUCUAAUUUGUACGGUGAAUUUCAAGUCAAUCAAAAAAUGAGUAAAAAGGACGUAACAGUUGAUGACACAACUAAAAAAAAAUUCAUUAACAGUCGUUGGUCAUCCAUCACUGAAAGGGUGCCAUUGGUGAAUCCUAUCCUAGACCGCUUACUCGAAGAAAAGAUUAUCUCUGUCGAGGCAUAUGACAAGAUUCGAAAAGAGAAGUCUGAACCAGAAAAAAUGAGGGCGAUACAUCGCUUCUUGCAUAGUGGCGGCUGUGUUGCAUAUUCUAAAUUUUUCCAGAUCCUACAGGAAUGCCAACCACAACUUUUUGAUGAACUGUGUAAAGUAAACUUUUAAUGCUCUGCAUUGUAGUAUUUACACAUUAUUGUAUGUCCAUUAUUUCUCUUAUUGAAGUAUUAUUAAAGUAAAAGCAUUCAUUUUCUAAAAUGUUUGUUGUAGCAAUGUAAAUCGAUAGGUACUUAAAAUCAGUAAACAAAACAAGAGCUUAUUCAAGGUGGUAACAUUUUUAUUAAUUGACUCAUAUUAAUAAACUCGGGACUGUUUAGGGGGAAACUGGACA